rnacentral:lncRNA from 1 species
CGCCGCGCAUCCGACGCCUCCUGAAGAGUCCCGUCUUGCCUCAUGUAUCCCUGGAGGGACACUCGGAAGACAGAAUGCCUCAGUCACGGGGGAAUUCCCAUAGAACCCCUGAGUUCUAUUCUUCAGGCUGAACCGGGCCUGUGGAGCAGAGGGUCGCCCCCUCUGGGAUUUUAAAUCAGACCUCAGAUAGUAUCUGUGAGUCAGCGAGUGAACAAAAAUGCUUUCCAAGACCCAUUAAGUGCUCCAAUAGUUCAUUUCAAGCGCCUCAUCCGGAAAAACGGAUCUCUUUUCAGGAGCUUAAGAGCUGACUUCUUCUUGAGAAACGGUGCCCUGUCUCUACACUGCCAUUCCUAAUGGCUCGUGUCACCAAGAAGGAUUUCUGCCAUUAAAAAACGUUUCCAACAUCUAACCAUCCUAGGCUAGGACUCAUAGAUGAUUUUCACUUGAUUAGGAUCCCAAUCAGGAACGACGGUGAGUGUCACCUGAGAGAUGGAACACCUUUCCACAUAAUUGUGACAGGCUCCGGGCUGAACUUCCCUUUUCCUGUGUUCUGUUGAAAAACGUCCCAUGCCACCUCCUUUCCCCAGAGAGCAAAGAAUCUAUCUGAUACAAAGCCUUGAGAAAUAAUGGUCCAGAUAACCAAUAACCACUCAUUUUUUUUGCUGUUAUUUAUGUGGGGUAUUUUCUUUGGCCCGAUCGUAUAUUAGAGAGUUACAAUGAUUCGUACCAAAUUGUUUAUUGAUCAUGAUUAUGAGAAGGGUAUGAAACGGCUGACAAAUAAAAUAAGCUGGU